UACGUAGGGACCAAGCGUUGUUCGGAUUUACUGGGCGUAAAGGGCUCGUAGGCGGCCAACUAAGUCGGACGUGAAAUCCCCAGGCUCAACCUGGGAACUGCGUCCGAUACUGGAUGGCUUGAAUUCGGGAGAGGGAUGCAGAAUUCCAGGUGUAGCGGUGAAAAUGCGUAGAUAUCUGGAGGAAUACCGGUGGCGAAGGCGGCAUCCUGGAC
rnacentral:rRNA from 1 species